rnacentral:lncRNA from 1 species
AAAGCUGAAAUCAUAAAUAAAUAGUGAAAUUUUGGCUAAUCAGGAGGGCCUCACGUGGGCUUCAAAAAGUUAUUGACUCAUCAAAUGUGCUAUUGCUUAUACUCAACUCGCUCCAUGCUUAUUCUUCCAGUAUCAUCAAAUGCUUGUUCCAGAGGAGUGUGAAUUUAUUUUGGAUUUUCUUUAAAAUGCCAGAAGUCUUUCCUUUUGGUAAGUAGGCUAUUUUGUUUAGAAAUAUUAGAAAGAAGGUAGUUUUUUUCCUUUGUGAUGGCCUCGUUGUUUUUUUUAAUACAAAUGUUACUACUCAUUAAAAAAGUCAAGCAAUACAGAAACCAACGGAUCAUUCCAAAUGCCAGUGUUUAGAAAUAACCAAAAUUAAUGUUUGAUGACUAUUAUCCUAGCUCUCUGUGUACAGGGAAAAGGCAGAAGAAUGGAUGUGUGGAAAGAUGCCGUGAGAGGGAAAAAAGAGAAUAACCAAGAGAGAGGAGCAUCAUUCUAUAAGAAUGGAAUCAUGUUAUUUCUAUUUUAAAUAAAAGUAUUAAGCUCACUUGAACUCUAUACAGGCUUUCUAUUUGAUCAGGUACAGUGUAGGUGAAUUUUCCUUCAUUGACACUUCUGUUUAUUUGGCUCCCAUUUGUCUUCCUUGCUUCCAUUACAACUUGAGCCCUAGCGGUUGUUUUAUAUCCAUGUUUCUGAAUGUGAACAUAUAUAGCUGUUGCAGGGAGAGAGAUAGCUUAGCUGGCUUCGAGCACAGUUCUUGCUAGCGAGGAUGGACUUCACUUUUUCUGUCUUCUGAGAGCCUGCUAAAUGCUUAGUAUGGAGGCCUGCUCCUUGGCUGGAGGUUUAUUCCUGUGCAUUCCUGUGCAUUUCUGCUCAUUCCCUGCUGGUAGUAGGGUACCAUGCAGGGUAUGGGAAGGUGUUGCCCUUUCUUCUGUCUCCUGAGGUCCUGGGUACUACUCAUGGUCUUGUACCAUACAGGAUUUGCUUUAUCCUUUCACAGAAUUGACUGCUCUCCACCCCAGCCUUCUCAGCUACAGACUGGAGAGUGUUAGUGAGACUUCUCAGUAUUUUUUUUUGGCUUCCCUUCUUUCCUCAGUUUUGUUUGUAGGGAAACAAGAGCCAGGUCUAAAAGCUGUGCUUUUUUUCAGCUUUGAGUAGCAUCAGAAUGAUUUGUUUCUCUACUUGGAUGCCAGUUUGAAAGCUGUUUUUUUUUGAAUAGUUUUUGUUCUUUUGUUUGGUAUUUUGGAGGGUGAAUUUUGUUCUUGCUUCACUCUGCCUUAUUUACCGAGAAGCUUUCUCAUCUAUUUUUGCCUCCUGAUACGGUUUGGCUCUGUGUCCCCACCCAAAUCUCAUCUUGUAGCUCCCAUAAUUCCCACUUGUUGUGGGAGGAACCUGGUGGGAGAUGAUUGAAUUAUGGGGUGGGUCUUUCCCAUGCUGUUCUUGUGACAGUGAAUGGGUCUCAUGAGAUCUGAUGGUUUUAAAAAACAGGAGUUGCCCUGCACAAGCUCUAUUUUUUUUGCCUGCCCCCAUCCAUAUAAGAUGUGACUUGCUCCUCCUUGCCUUCUGCCAUGAUUGUGAGGCCUCCCCAGCCAUGUGGAACUGUAAGCUCAUUAAACCCCUUUUUCUUCUCAGUCUUUGGUAUUUCUUUAUCAGCAGUGUGAAAACAAACUAAUACACCUUCUUAUAUAAGCUUUUCCUUACACUGCAAACAGUGUUGUCCUUUCCAAGCACAAAAGUGAUCAUUCAAAUUCCCGGCCUAAAACUCUCCUAUGUUUUUAACAAAGGAUUGUCUCAGAGCUUGGUGGAAAAAGAGUGUGCCAGCAAUUCAAACUACUGACACUUCAAAGAACAUACUCUAGGGGACACGCAUCUGAUGGGAGUGCCUAGACAACUUUCAGAUUAUACCAAUGGUUGGAGUCAGGAUUUCAGAACCCUUUAGUUGAGAAGCAGAUGGCUUCAUAAGCCUGCCACUCCGAGAUCCAGUGAAAUAGAAUUACUUACACAGUAUUGAGUGAACUGAUAAAGGAAAUGUUAUUGUGGUUAUUUGUUCAAAAUAUUGUGAUAUUGUCUUAAUGUUAAUAUGUUCUAGAUAGAUAAGGAAGUCAUUCUGUGUCUUUCUUAAGAUAUAUGUAGCCCACAGUAAUUUAAUAAACUCUGCUUUUUGUAAACUGAAAAGCAAAAGCAAAACCAACCCCAACAUAAAAUAAAAUGAAACCAAUAAAACCACUCUUCUGUGGUUUUCCAUUGCUCACAGAAUGAAGACCAAAAUGGUUAAUGUGGCCAUUGAGGUAGGAUGACAGCUUCCAGCCCAACCUCAUUUUAUACCAUGUUGCUCCAUUCCUUAUAGAUGGUAAGCAUUCCUGCCCUUGGGCCACCCAUUUCCUCUUAAGGUCAGAGUCCAUGCUUGGCUAUAUAAGGCUAAUGAAUGUGUGAUUGUGUUUUGAGCACAUUCAGAGAUACGUGCUUCAUUUUGCAAUUGCUUCAUUCCUUGGGUUUCUCUGUAAAAAUCAGAUGUUCUUAUCCCUGUCAUUUCCCUCUCACUUCAUACUUUACUCUGAAGUUUAACAAAAAACACUCAAUAGCUUGACUACCUUAUUUAUAUAGAAUUUCAAAUGUUGGGAAAAUAAUUUUUGGACAAUUUUAGAAGCCAUGGAGGCCUAUCCAAACCCUUCCCCAUUGUUCAUGUGAUUAACAGUGAGAUGGGCCAAUAAAGGAUGUCCUUUAAGCCUCGGUCUAUCUGUAGAGGUAACCCUCUCACUUUAUUCUAUAGUCCUAGAGAUCAUAUGACUAGGGGUGGGGCUAGAAUAGAAAAAACAUUUUCCACUAGAGCUGGUAUACGGUAUUAAGAAAUAAAACAUAGACCCACUUUACGGGACUGAAAAUAGAGCAGGCACAUGGUGGAGUAUGGGAUACUUACCACGGCCCAGUAGUCUUGGCCAGCUACCCCAUUGAUGCACAUAUCCACCAGCAGCAGAAUCACUCCAAUGAAGGCCAAGAUAGAACUAACAAUGUUCAUUCCCAGGCUGCCUUUCACCUAAUGGAGAUGGCAGGAAAAAAUCAAUUAUAUACAGGAUCACUGAAGUUAAGUGAGAUAAGAAUCAAUCAAAUUUCAUGGUUCUUAAUUUUUGAACUUUCAAAACAAUUUUUCAAGUUGAAAUUAUUCUGUUUUCUGCCCUUCUGGGUAAUUACCAUAAACAUUAUUCUGUAUGCAGCCUAGAUGUAGGGUACUUCUAAAAAGCUGUAGAAAAAUGUAAAUCAUAUAAAGCAGGCACUCAUCUAUUGGAUUUUACUAAAAGCUUCAUGCACAAUAACAACUAUAUUUUCUUUAUAAAAAAAUGAAAAAACAAACUUCUAAUGAGCAUUUUUCUGUGUCAGACACUGUGUUAAAUUAUUUAAAUUAUCUCAACUCUUACAGCCUUUGAAUGAGGUAGUACGAUAGCAUAUGAUUUUAUAGAUGGGAAAGUAUUUAGACACAACAUGUUUGCUGAAAAAUUUAGGAAUUAAUGAAAACCCUAAGUCUCUCUGGGGACUAAAUAUGAACCCCCAAAUUUAGAAGGAGAAAAUUUAGGCUUUUGUGGGCAGAGGUGUAUGGGCGACUACAAAACUUUCCCCAGUUUCUACAAUAGGAUUUUAACAUGCAGAAGAAUAAUUGUGAAACCAAGUCCGCAGGUGACUUGCUAGGGGUGGCACAGUCGAGUUCUUUAGAAUGUGCUUGUGCUGCAGCGUGCCUUAGAGCCUCCUGAAGUUCUCUAAAAGCUCUUAGAAAAAUUGUCUUAGGUAUGUGUCAGUGGCUGUCUCCUCUAAGAGGUGGAAUCUAUGCUUCGACAAUCUCAAUUAGACGGAAGGAUCCUUAAAAGAUGCAGAGAAAGGGUGCUUUAUUUUGUUUUUGGACUGCAACAGGAGUGGUUAAUCAGAAUUAGGCUUAUUUUAUUUUAAUUUGAUUUAAUUAUUUUAUUCUUCUUUUGUCUGCAAGAGCAUGAGCUACAUGAUUCUGUGUUCCUCUUUCCCCGUUCUUCUUUCUUGUACUGGAUUACAUAUAAUCUUGACACCACCUCUGCUCUAGUUGACUCUAGUUCUUGAUAAAUCACUUUCUUUUUCCUGGUUCAAUAGUAGACCACGAAAUUGGAAUAGGUGGGGUGCUGUGACCGACAGAGCUCAAAGUCCUGUCUUACUCAUCAUUUUUAUAAACUCUUCUUACAGAACAAGCUAGACUCAUUUAAUGGCAAUUUAAAGAAUUGUAAAACACACAACCUGUGUAAGAGUAGGAAAUAGCACAAAUAAAAAAAUAAAAAUACAAGACAGAGCUGAGAAGUGGCAAAUGAACAGUAGAGACUUGGUAACUGAUGUGUCUAGUAUGUAUUUCCUGGCUCCUGGAUUCUCCUUUGGACUUCCCAUAAUAGAGUGUGACCAGACUGAACCAGGGAGCUUUUAGGUUAAAGCUUAAACAACCCUGAUUUUUACUACUUCUCACCUUUGUGAAUUCAAGAGUCAGGAUAUGGAGCUCUGCCAUUUCUUAGUGGCAAACUGUGUGGACCAUUUUCUCACCCCAGCGCUCAGACCAUAAGGCAACCAAUAGAUUUUUUUUGGGAAAGGUGCUCCCUUUUGCAUUUCCCAAAUCCAGCUUUUCAAUUUUCCUCCCCAAUAUGUUAAGCUAAUCUUUAAAGGGGUUCAAAAAGUAGAGACAGUCUAACUUACCAGACAACGGGAAAGCUCCUUGGAUGCUGACACAGAGAGAGAGCCAGAGAUAAUAAACUGUGGAAAUGGACAAAUUUAUUUGUGAAAUGGGUUAACUGGUUGUGCUUGGGAAUUUCUCUUUAUAUGAAAGGUUGGUCUAUUUAUGUUCAUCUAGUUUCCUUCUCAAAAUUUUCUCUCGCACUUCUGAAUUUUCUGGAGUAACUCUCAGUCAUAUGUCCUUGACUUCUUUUUUAUUUUCUUUUCCUUAAUUUCUGGCCUAUGAAGAACUCACAAUGUUUAAGCAUUCCUUGUUCUGAGGCUUACUGCUCCAUCCCUUCUCAUAAUCAAUUGCAUUUUUUUAAUUAAAAAAUUUUUUUAGAGAUUGAGUCUCACUAUAUUGCCCAGGCUGGCCUCCAUCUCUUGAACUCAAGCAAUUCCCUGGCCUCAGCCUCCCAAGUAGCUGGGACUACAAUCACACACCACUAUGCCUGGCUUACUUGCAUAUUUUUAAUCAUGUUUCCAAUCACCUUUUCUUUUCUUUCUCUCUCCACCCAAUACAUACAUUUCCAUCUCAAAUGUAGUAGGAUAUCAAAACUUUGGCUUGCUGAUUACAUGAUUAAAUUUUAAAGAAUGGAAUAAGCUCCUAGGUAAAAUGGCGAAAGAGUUCCCGAUUUUUUCAUGCUCAUUCAGAGCUGUUAAUUUUUCUAAAUUCUCCAGCCCUCAUUCAGAGCUGUUAAUUUUUCUAAAUUCUCCAGCCCUCAGAUGUAGGGCUUUAUCAAGAAAUGAGUUGUGAAUUGGCUGGAGAUAGCAAUACUUUAUAAACCAAGAGGGAAUACUUUAUAAACCAAGAAGGACUGGUGUUCUAGCAAUCUACUCACAGAAAGGCCACCCCAGAAUGGGUAUCCACCAAUAACAGCAGUAGAGGCAAAACCUAAUACUUCUCUAAAAGAGAAGGAUAUUAAACACAAAACAAUUCCAAAACCAAUGUGCAUCAAUCCAACCAUGAUCUGGAUCACCUGAAAAAAGAAAACAGCCAUUUAAAAUUACUUCUUCACUUUCAGACGUGUGAAACAUUACUGUCAUUGCUGCCCCUGCUUAUUUAUUGUCAAUUUUGCUGAGAUCCAUCGUUGUCAUUCAGGCACACAUCUGAAGCAGGAGGUGGGUCAUGAAGAUUCUGACAUAUACUAGAAUAACUGGAGUGCAAGGCCCUUAGUGAAACGCCCUGUUUUGAGGUAUUUGGAGAAUUUACUGGGGUGGCCCAAGAAGAAUUCUUCAGAAAGUACAGCUGCUUAAUCAUGCAUUAGCAUCUCUGAGGGCCUCUAAAAGACUAUUAGAAAAACAAUACUUUAACUGUGAUGUCAGUAGCUGCUUUUUCAGAUGGAUCAGUUCUCUGCUUGGGUCAUCCCAGUUACGGGUAAAGGAAUUGGUGAAGAUAAAACCAUUUAUUAGGCAUGAAUUAUGUGCUUGGUCAUGUUCUGAACACUUUACAUUUAUUGUUUCAUGUAAUCCUCCUACAACUGGAUUGAGUCCCAGAGACAUAAAGAUAUCAGGUAUCCAAGGUCACACAAUUCCUAAGAGGCAGAUCUGGGAAUUUACUGCAGCACAUUGACUGCUGAGCCUGUCUGAAUUAUUCGGUACUGUCUUCCCCCAUGCUCAGCUCUGCUCUACCUUUUCCAUGAAGUCUUCUUGAUUACACCAAAUUAAUCUUUUUUCUUUCUUUCUGAAUUUCAGUUGCAUCUCAUGACAUAAAACACACCUUAUUACUUGAUUUUGGAUUCAUUUAUAUUGUUUUUUUUUUUCUUUUUUUUUUUUUUUUUUU